CCAACAUACCAGAAAACUAGUGUUACAGUUAGUGCAGGUAUACGUAUUACUACGGCAUAAACAAUCCGAUUUUUAUGUUAUAGCUUUUAUAUAAGCUUACGUAACUGUUAACAUAGUAGUAUAUGUUCUACUUCUGACUCAAAACUGACUGUUGAUGAUAUUCGCAAGUGUUGAAUUUUAAAGUAUUUAACUUCAUAAAUAUUUUUAUAUUUUUAAAAGCUACAGGAAAAUGAGUACAAGUUUAAUGAGCCCAGCUGUUAAGUACUCACCUGCCUGUUCACCUUUGACCCGUCAAACACAGACCAUACUUGCUUAUCACGUCGCUCACUGUUUUAGAGUCAGGGAGCGUAGAUGGAGGUAUUAAACUGGUUAUUGUUUUAUUAACCGCCAACUUCAUUCUAAAGAUAAAAGGACUCUUUCGUCUUUGAAGAAAGCUACGAGCAGCUCUAGUUUCCAAAAUUUGGUUACGAAGUAUUCGCACUGAUACAAGAACUCGUUGGACUACUAAACUCAAGAUAUGUAGUUUAAACUGAAAAAG